rnacentral:rRNA from 1 species
UACGUAGGGCGCGAGCGUUGUCCGGAAUUAUUGGGCGUAAAGAGCUCGUAGGCGGUUUGUCGCGUCUGCUGUGAAAACUCGGGGCUUAACUCCGGGCCUGCAGUGGGUACGGGCAGACUAGAGUGCGGUAGGGGAGACUGGAAUUCCUGGUGUAGCGGUGAAAUGCGCAGAUAUCAGGAGGAACACCGGUGGCGAAGGCGGGUCUCUGGGCCGUAACUGACGCUGAGGAGCGAAAGCGUGGGGAGCGAACAGG